rnacentral:misc_RNA from 1 species
GUAGGUGAACCUGCGGAAGGAUCAUUAACACGAUUCCUGCAUCGACUGACUCGGUUUUACCGCUGACGUCGUCGAUGCAUAAUCACAUCAAUGUUGACUGAGUUUUUCUCCCUAGUAUCUCCGGCCUCGGCUGGAGCACUCUAGGAUCAUGUCGUGUCCCCUGGCAUUCGAUUGCAAGCUCGCCCGACGAUUCGUCGUCCGCCGAGUGGGGCAUGGCGCCUAUUCAACCACACACCUAACACAUAAAUCG